UGCACCGGGCGGGGGGUUUCGUCCCCGCCGCUGCCCGCCGUGUCCCGGCUCGGCCCCUGCCCCUGCCCUUGCCCCUCUCUGGGGUCGGCGGCAGUACCAAACUUCCUCCCUUUGUCUGGGCGGCCGCGGCUUGUCUGCACCCAGCCUGUCAUUAAGUCCCGGCAAGCUGUCAUCUAGUUUGGGCGGACUGUGAUUUCCCCCGCGCCCCCGAGGAGGAGGGAGGGUGGGGAAGAGUUAAUGCUUGCUUUGACCUUUUGGAUGACUUCAGAUACUUAGAUCAUCCCCCCGCUGACUGACACACGCAUCCACUCACCCGAUCCCCUCGUCUUCCUUCCCCCGCGUGGUGCUCCGACGGGGACACCGCAAAGGACAGAUGUCUGCAUUUACUUUUUCAUCUGCCCUUCCUGCCUUAACACCGCCGAGAGAGUGAGAGGAGGUUGGCAAAUGGCUCACUCGCUGCAGAGAGCCAGGGCUGGAAGGCGGCCUGGGUCCCAGGAAAGCGAGAGGAGUGGGACCCCAGAGGAGCCCGACCCCGCUGGCCGCCCUGCUGCCAAGGUCCCAAGAGGGUGCCAGGAGCAGGUGCUCCUUAGCUGUGGGACUCCAAGGGGGAUGCAGCUCUCCAGUCUGGUACUAGCUUGCAAACAGCAUCUUGUCCAACCUUUGCUGUCUGCGAGGAACGGGCUGCGUGUCACUGGUACUUAGCAGCAGCAGCAGCGGGACUGUUGUGGUGGGAUGCCUGGAGGAUGGCAGACCAGCACCCGCUCGGUAGCUUCCAGAGGCUGCUUCGAGUCUCACACUUCUGUAAAGAACAGGUUACCUACUGCAACAAACACUUUGAAAAUUAAUAUUCCCAUGUAAAUUAUGACAUUAACAUAACCCUGAGGUUAUGUUUAUGAAAUAUUUAAUGCAUCAAAGUCUUGCAGGUGUUCUUUCUUCUUUUUCUAUUUUUCUGGAAAUGGUGAUAGCAGUGACCAAAAGUUCAUUUCUCAACCUCCUGGUAUUUCUUUUUCUACAUUUCAGUAUUUUAUCAUCACCAAAAAUUCUUGACUGGAGUCAGUAAGUUCCAAAAUUAAGAGUUAUGUAUCAGGAAGGUCACAUGACAUUUUUUGGGCAUCGGUCCAGGAUUAUUCAACAUUUUAAAAUUUAAACAUUUUCUCAGUUACUUUAGUUAUAAAGUUAAGACUGUUGAAAACAUCUUAAAGGGAGGGAGAGAGAAGGCGGUGGCAUAUCUCGAUCAAAAAAAGAACCUGUAAUUUUUCUCCCACUUUUUCUUGGAUGGCUUUUACUUUUCAUUUGAGCCUAAUAGAUAACUGUUCAGCACUGACAACAUUUUGUUGACUUCUCUGGGAUCUGAUCAAACCCUGGAUUCACAUAUAAGUCUGGGUCCAAACUCCCAGAUACCUCUGGGAGAGGUGCUAAAGAUGAGAUCUGGGAUAAGGAAUGUACUUUGGAUAACAACCUCAGAAACUCUCAUUAAAAAAGUUUUAGUUUGUCAAUGAGAAGGCAUAUGGUGCACAAGAGGCCAAUGUAAUGUUCUCCCAUGCUACAGCAUAAUUCCAACUGUCCAGCCAUAUUGUCUAGGAAAAACAGGAAUGCUUAGAAGGGCUAGUGGUAAUUAAAUGGUGCGUCUCACUGCUUAUCUCUUGUGUUGUCUUUGAUUUCCCAAAUGACAGGAAAAGUUGGUUAAGCUUGCACAAUGCCCUGUCUCACUGAGCAAGGAUCUAGGCUUUCCAGGAAGGUACAAAUUAGCCUGUGCAGAUUACCCCACAGAUUAUGAAAUCUUUCCUAUUUACAUUUCAGAACUGUAAUAACUCAGCAGUGCAAUAAUGGAAAGACAGGUCAGUCAUUCCUCAUGCAACAAGAGGAACCCUCUUGUAGUCUGGGAGUCUUGAAGUGUAAGGAUAAAUCACUUAAACGAAUCGUCUUCUUUUUGCUCCUGGUUUUGCCCUUUUAGCCUCUCUCUACUGUUAGAGCACUGCCUUUAAACAAGAGAGCCUGUUAGCAUGUCCCGAGUUGUGGAUGACACUAAAUCCUUGUCAAACAGUCUGACCUGGAAAUCUCAAAGCUGACCUUUCCCAACUGAGAGAUAAAGCACCACAAAUCCCCAAUUAACUUUUAAGACACAACGCAAGUUUUGUACACUUUGGACCAAAUUCCAUCCUGAUGUAAAAAGAUGCUGUCCUCCUGAGUCUCUGGGAGCUGCAAACGGCUUUCAUUAAGGUUGUGUUUCAUCCCCUGGGUUUGUCCGUGAAACCAUUCAUGAUCCUUCCAGUAACAGCCUCAGUAGCUGGGGAUUCCUGAUUAUAUAGUAUUUUAGCCACAUAAGGAAUAUUGCUCUAAGCAUUAUAAGCACUCAUAUGAAGGAAUAGCUUGAGAGACAUGGACAUGCUGGGAAAGCUGCUGAUCAUUUUAUCCACAUGUCCUUCAAACUGUCUUAUAUAAGGGCCCUGUUUUAUAUCACCUCUUCUUCAGUUCUCUGUCACAUUACUAGGGGUAGAAAGCCAUGAACCCAAGGUGUCAACAAAUCAGUCCUAUGUCUGUCUACUGCCUCCUGGUAGUAGUCAAGGCCUAGCAGAGAUGUCCUACCCAACACCACCUGUCUUUCACCAUUAAUUUAAUUCUUCCUUCUUGGAAAUCAAAAAAUCUGUUCAGCUUUUAUUGUUCUGGCAUUAGGAGUGUCUGACAUUUCUAUGUAAUUGCACAGGGGUGAUAGCAAUUACUAUGGGAGAUAGUAGUGUUUUCUGUAAAAUUUUAGGAAGAGCCAGUCAAAUCCAAGAAAAUUGCCUGCUCAACGUGUUCUAAAGUAAUAUCAAGCAAACAACAUUUGAUAGACUCGUGAUCAACACAGGCCUAUAGCUGGGAACUGGACCCAGGUUUGGGUGAGUAUCUAUCCAAGAAUCUACCUGUAGCAACACGGACAGCUUUGUCCCUCCUGAGAAUUGAAAGCCUCUGUUAACUUUAUGGGACAUUUUUAAUAUGCGUAUCAGCAAGAUCAAGCUUGCCUGCAACAGGAGGCUGUUCAAAUCUUUAUCCCCCAGAAAUCUAUUGGUAACACUUUGCUGCCUCUCAAAACCACCAUGUUUUAUUGGUCUUGUCAGCAGUUUUAACAAUACAAACAUUAUGAUUAUAAUGUCAAGUCUAUUAAUUUUAAAGCUUUCCUAUGGUGAUGCAUUAAAACCACUGAAGACAUUUAUUUCCAAAGUGGUCAUUAUUAAAUAAAAUGGUCAUUAUAAAUAA